UACAGGAGGGGGCAAGCGUUGUUCGGAAUUACUGGGCGUAAAGGGCGCGUAGGCGGCCUGCUAAGUCGAACGUGAAAUCCCCGGGCUCAACCCGGGAACUGCGUCCGAUACUGGCAGGCUUGAAUCCGGGAGAGGGAUGCGGAAUUCCAGGUGUAGCGGUGAAAUGCGUAGAUAUCUGGAGGAACACCGGUGGCGAAGGCGGCAUCCUGGACCGGGCAUUGACGCUGAGGCGCGAAAGCCAGGGGAGCAAACGGG
rnacentral:rRNA from 1 species